AUUGAACGCUGGCGGAAUGCUUUACACAUGCAAGUCGAGCGGCAGCGCGGCCUUCGGGCUGGCGGCGAGCGGCGAACGGGUGAGUAAUGCAUCGGAACAUGCCCAGUCGUGGGGGAUAACACUUCGAAAGAAGUGCUAAUACCGCAUACGUCCUGAGGGGGAAAGCGGGGGAUCGCAAGACCUCGCGCGAUUGGAGUGGCCGAUGUCAGAUUAGCUAGUUGGUGGGGUAAAGGCCUACCAAGGCGACGAUCUGUAGCUGGUCUGAGAGGAUGAUCAGCCACACUGGGACUGAGGCACGGCCCAGACUCCUACGGGAGGCAGCAGUGGGGAAUUUUGGACAAUGGGGGCAACCCUGAUCCAGCCAUUCCGCGUGAGUGAAGAAGGCCUUCGGGUUGUAAAGCUCUUUCGGCAGGAACGAAACGGUGGGCUCUAACAUAGUCCGCUAAUGACGGUACCUGAAGAAGAAGCACCGGCUAACUACGUG
rnacentral:rRNA from 1 species